rnacentral:rRNA from 1 species
UACGGGGGGAGCAAGCGUUGUUCGGAUUUACUGGGCGUAAAGGGCGCGUAGGCGGUCGUGACAAGUCACUUGUGAAAUCUCCGGGCUUAACUCGGAACGGUCAAGUGAUACUGUCGGACUAGAGUACAGAAGGGGCAACUGGAAUUCUCGGUGUAGCGGUGAAAUGCGUAGAUAUCUGGAGGAACACCGGUGGCGAAGGCGGCAUCCUGGACCGGCAUUGACGCUGAGGCGCGAAAGCCAGGGGAGCAAACGGG